rnacentral:rRNA from 1 species
GCAACCUGCCGGGCAGACGGGGAUAACUGGGGGAAACCGCAGCUAAGACCGGAUAGGGCGCACGCACCGCCUGGUGCGUGCGGGAAAGGCGGCUACGGCCGCGCUGCCCGAGGGGCCCGCGGUGCAUUAGCCAGUUGGCGGGGCAGAGGCCCACAAAGCAACGAUGCAUAGCCGACCUGAGAGGGUGAUCGGCCACAUUGGGACUGAGACACGGCCCAAACUCCUACGGGAGGCAGCAGUAGGGAAUCUUCCACAAUGGACGAGAGUCUGAUGGAGCAACGCCGCGUGAGCGAAGAAGGUUUUCGGAUCGUAAAGCUCUGUUGCCGGAGAAGAACGGGCGGGAGAGGGAAUGCUCCCGUCGUGACGGUAUCCGGCGAGCAAGUCACGGCUAACUACGUGCCAGCAGCCGCGGUAAUACGUAGGUGGCGAGCGUUGUCCGGAAUUAUUGGGCGUAAAGGGCACGCAGGCGGCUGUUUAAGUCCGGUGUGAAAGGUUGCGGCUUAACCGCAAACGGGCACCGGAAACUGAAGAGCUUGAGGGCAGAAGAGGGGAGCAGAAUUCCACGUGUAGCGGUGAAAUGCGUAGAGAUGUGGAAGAAUACCGGUGGCGAAAGCGGCUCUCUGGUCUGCACCUGACGCUGAGGUGCGAAAGCGUGGGGAGCGAACAGGAUUAGAUACCCUGGUAGUCCACGCCGUAAACGAUGAAUGCUAGGUGUUAGGGGGGUCCAACCCCUUAGUGCGGAAGGCAACCCAUUAAGCAUUCCGCCUGGGGAAUACGACCGCAAGGUUGAAACUCAA